rnacentral:rRNA from 1 species
AUUGAACGCUGGCGGCAGGCCUAACACAUGCAAGUCGAACGAGUGGCGGACGGGUGAGUAAUGUAUGGGCAACUGCCUGAUGGAGGGGGAUAGCUACUGGAAACGGAAGCUAAUAACGCCUACCAUCGGCUGUGCCCAGGUGGGAUUAGCUAGUAGGUGGGGUAAAGGCUCACCUAGGCGACGAUCACUACCUGGUCUGAGAGGAUGACCAGCCACACUGGAACUGAGACACGGUCCAGACUCCUACGGGAGGCAGCAGUGGGGAAUAUUGGACAAUGGGCGCAAGCCUGAUGCAGCCAUGCCGCGUGUAUGAAGAAGGCCUUCGGGUUGUAAAGUACUUUCAGCGGGGAGGCGUUACCCACAGAAGAAGCACCGGCUAACUCCGUGCCAGCAGCCGCGGUAAUAC